rnacentral:rRNA from 1 species
AUUGAACGCUGGCGGCAGGCUUAACACAUGCAAGUCGAGCGGGGUGAGGUGCUUCGGUACUGAUCCUAGCGGCGGACGGGUGAGUAAUGCUUAGGAAUCUGCCAUUUAGUGGGGGACAACAUUCCGAAAGGGAUGCUAAUACCGCAUACGUCCUACGGGAGAAAGCAGGGGAUCUUCGGACCUUGCGCUAAAUGAUGAGCCUAAGUCGGAUUAGCUAGUUGGGGGGGUAAAGGCCUACCAAGGCGACGAUCUGUAGCGGGUCUGAGAGGAUGAUCCGCCACACUGGGACUGGGACACGGCCCAGACUCCUACGGGAGGCAGCAGUGGGGAAUAUUGGACAAUGGGCGGAAGCCUGAUCCAGCCAUGCCGCGUGUGUGAAGAAGGCCUUUUGGUUGUAAAGCACUUUAAGCGAGGAGGAGGCUACCUAGAUUAAUACUCUGGGAUAGUGGACGUUACUCGCAGAAUAAGCACCGGCUAACUCUGUGCCAGCAGCCGCGGUAAGAC